rnacentral:rRNA from 1 species
AUGGCGGCUGCCUCCACACGCGGGAAAGGAAACAACGUCGACAAAACGGCGGAUCAACAAGAUGAAGAAGACACGCAACCGCUGCGCCCGCCGAAGUUGUCUCACCAUGCUCCUAGUGCUUCGAACCGCUGCGAAACAAGCAACACCCUCAGGAGGGGAAGCGAUAGCGACAUUGUUGCUGCCCGGGCAAGUCCCGGGGUUUCCCCCGAUACGCCGAGGGAGUUGGAUCUGGGGAGUCUCUGGUCGCAAAUCCAGCAAGCCGCCGCCUCCUCUUCCGAUGUGACCUCCUCCUCCUUUUCUCCAAGACCGUGGAACUCUCUGAGAAUUAAGAAACUCUCUUGGUCGCUCGGAACUCUGCACCUCUUCUCUACCGUACAGCUUCUCCAUAGUGAGAGAAACCUUAAGAUCCAAGUGAAGAAAAGAAAGAUCCUGCCUAGCUCCGUCAGUGCUGAGAAGGCCACCAUAAUAAACACAUAUGCUGUGAUGAAAUCUGGUAUGAAAGACCUCGACGAAAGUGGCAAUAAUGGUGCAAUCAGUAGCCAGAAAGCACAAAAGCGCCUUAUGACGGCCCCGCUGUCUCCCGGCACCAUGAAGAGGAGGGAGGACUGGGGGCUCCUGGGGCUUGCUGCUGUGAGGGAGAAGGGUGGGGCCAUGAGCGUCGCCUUGCCUCGCCUUACCGCCUCGCCUUGGCACUUAGGCGUCAGAGCGGCCCUCCUCCGCCUUAUGACGCUUUACUGCCUUAAAAACAUAGCUGUCCACACAAUAUUCUACUGUAACCUUUUGCUCGUCCCUUUGGUAAACACGGAUUCAUCUCAUGUUAGUUCAGAGGAUGGCCCUAUCGACCAUGAUGUCAACCAUUGCAACAAUGACAGCGGCAAUGAGGAGGAGAACAUUGGUGGUAACGAUAACAAUUGUGGCUUCAAUCCUGAUGGUGUCUCCUGA